GACGGACGCUGGCGGCGUGCUUAACACAUGCAAGUCGAACGAUGACGACCGAGCUUGCUCGGUCUGAUUAGUGGCGAACGGGUGAGUAACACGUGAGCAACCUGCCCUUCACUCUGGGAUAACCUCGGGAAAUCGGGGCUAAUACCGGAUAUGAGCUCCUGUCGCAUGGCGGGUGUUGGAAAGUUUUUCGGUGAAGGAUGGGCUCGCGGCCUAUCAGUUUGUUGGUGAGGUAGUGGCUCACCAAGGCGAUGACGGGUAGCCGGCCUGAGAGGGCGACCGGCCACACUGGGACUGAGACACGGCCCAGACUCCUACGGGAGGCAGCAGUGGGGAAUAUUGCACAAUGGGCGAAAGCCUGAUGCAGCGACGCCGCGUGAGGGAUGACGGCCUUCGGGUUGUAAACCUCUUUCAGCAGGGAAGAAGCGAAAGUGACGGUGCCUGCAGAAGAAGCGCCGGCUAACUACGUG
rnacentral:rRNA from 1 species